AUGCACCUCAUACAAAAUCAAAGCCGAAAUAUGGCACAUGCCACAAAUGACACCAUAAUAACCUUCGACUGCUAUGUCUAUACAUUUCUGCGUUUACUCCAGUUGUUAAAAUAUAUUAUUGGUUAUAUAAUCAUAUACAUUACCAAAAAAAAUGCAAUUUAUGGAAAAGAUUUUGAUGCAGUUUUUGCCAUCGGCUAGACCAAUAAAUGCCUUUAUGCCUUUAAUCAAUUUGUCCUGGCAGUGUUUCCAAAAUCUUCAAUUCUAUAUAUAUUAAGGAUUGCCACCACUAUUACUGCCACAUUUCUAAAGUGUACCACUUCAUCUAUUCCAUUUUCAGAAGCUUAUGAGAAUAAAGUUUUAAAUUAUUAAAACUUUCCUGAGUCAUUAUUAUAUUAUUUAUUAAUAUCUUCAGUGAAGAGGUGGGACGUUAUCGCGAACCCACCACACUCACCCUGAUGAAGGACUUCUGAAUGGUCCGAAACUAGUCGGUACCGACACCGACAAAAACAAAAAUUUGGAGUAUUUUUUUGUCAACGGCGAGUAUUGGAGAGAGGCCAGGCAAGUGUGGCCACAAAUAUCAAAGGAUUAUCUACUCCGUACUAACUGUUUAGUCUAUUUUGAUAAUUGUUUGCCGACAAUGUAUGCUGGCGUACAUGCACUAUAGGCUCCUUAUAUUUUAUUUAUAAUAUUAUUUUUUAUUUAGCAAGAGAAAUAGCUUUACUUGCCAAUAUUAUAUAAAUAAAUGUCCUUAACUUUGA